rnacentral:rRNA from 1 species
CAGCAGCCACGGGAAUACGAAGGGGGCUAGCGUUGUUCGGAAUUACUGGGCGUAAAGCGCACGUAGGCGGACAUUUAAGUCAGGGGUGAAAUCCCGGGGCUCAACCCCGGAACUGCCUUUGAUACUGGGUGUCUAGAGUAUGGAAGAGGUGAGUGGAAUUCCGAGUGUAGAGGUGAAAUUCGUAGAUAUUCGGAGGAACACCAGUGGCGAAGGAGGCUCACUGGUCCAUUACUGACGCUGAGGUGCGAAAGCGUGGGGAGCAAACAGGAUUAGAUACCCCUGUAGUCCCUGUCUCUUAUAA